CUUUUAGUAAAAAAUUAUGUGGAACAAAUUUUCCGACCACAACUCAGAUUUUUAUUUAUUUGUUUUGAUCCCGACCGCAACUCGGAUUUUUUUACCUGUUUUAAUCAGGUUGCAUGCGAAAGAGCUUUUUAAUAUCUGAGACAACUGAAAAAUUAGAUGAGGAAUCUAUUGACAAAUGAUCGUUUAAAUAAUUUGGCUUCAAUAAGCAUAGAAAAAACAUUUCUAAGAACCUAGAUUUAAAUUUUUGUCUACAAUUGUUUUAAAAACAUAACAAAAAC